rnacentral:rRNA from 1 species
UACGGAGGGCGCAAGCGUUAUCCGGAAUUAUUGGGCGUAAAGAGCGCGUAGGCGGUUUGUCGCGUCUGCCGUGAAAGUCCGGGGCUCAACUCCGGAUCUGCGGUGGGUACGGGCAGACUAGAGUGAUGUAGGGGAGACUGGAAUUCCUGGUGUAGCGGUGGAAUGCGCAGAUAUCAGGAGGAACACCGAUGGCGAAGGCAGGUCUCUGGGCACUUACUGACGCUGAGGAGCGAAAGCGUGGGGAGCGAACAGG